GAAUCUGAAGGCAAAUGGGGAGUCCCUCCACCACUUGAAAAUGGAUCAACAAAUGGUAUGCCCACCGCUCCAUCUAUUGGAGCUUCAGGCUCCGAUCAAGCACCAAGAUGACAAAGAAGCCUCUAAGCAAACAAUGUUGUGUCCUGUUUUGUUGAAUCUUACCCAAAUUUCAGAUCAAACUGACGAGUAAAUGUUCGUUCUAGGAGACUAACCAGAAUCCUCCAAGUCAAAAUAUGAAGUGUAUGUAACACCCCAAAGAUUUGUUUUUCUUUGCAAUCGGAAGGGAAGGUUUGUCUUCAGUGGAGCUAGGAGUCUCAGUACUAGUCACAGCUUAAGAUUUGACUUGUUUUUUACACCAAUGUUGUGGCUUUCGUUUGUGGUAAUCUAUUAGCUAGAGAGGACAUAAUUUAGCUCAGUACUCUCCAACAUGUAAAUUUCCAACUUAUGAGGUAAGAUGUAAUGUAAAAUGAACACUUCACUCUUUAUAUUCCUUAGUGUAGUGAGGAAUUCCUUCUAUCAGCUUUU
rnacentral:misc_RNA from 1 species